CCAUAAUGGACCUCUCAUUCUCUUUCGUUUACAGGUACAAAUGCUAGAUUCAACUAUUUCAACUAUGCAGGAAGUGGACUCUUCAGUUAGGAAUGCCAACCCUAAUUCAUUUUGUCUUGAAAUAUAUACAAGUUGUUUGUAGUAGCUACAGCAAUGAUGUUUUCCUUAGGAUGCCAGGCCGUGUGUAGAAUCUUCUUGUUGAAGUCUAAGCUGUCAACACUAAUUUCAUCCUUCUUUCUCUUACCACUUGCACAUACUUUACGUGGCUUCAGAACGGUACGGGGUUUGUUGUUUUCCCGUGACGCCUCUAAGGUGAUGUCUCGUUUUGUGUUUCUGUCAAACAUUCUGAAGAAGUUGUUGUAAGAUCCUGUCAUGACAAUGCUGUCCGAUCCAUUCCAGCAGCAUUCAAAUUUGUCAAAAAUGCAAUCGUUUUCAUACAGUGAACAAAGUUUACUUCUGAGGUAUUCAUGCACCUGGUAUGUUUCCACAGGUCUGUUCUCCAUAUUUAAAUCCCAGAUCUUCACUGACAGAUAAUCUCUAGUCAUCAUGUAACGACCACUAUGGCUAAAUUUGACAUCAGAUAUGGAAGAGAUGAUUUCAGAGAAAAAUGAUCUGUUGCUAGGAUCUUCUGGUUCUUCAAACAAUUUAGAAUGUCUGUCACAGAGUGCUGAUGCUCUCAUAUCACAGAGACGAAUCGUUCCUUUACUGCUGCUGUAUACAAAUGUAUUACAGCUGUUUGGGUGGAACUCUGCAGCUGUUAUCACCUCUGUCAGCUCUUCCAUGUUGGCAGGCUUAAUAUCUACAAUAUUAAAACUUCUGUCUGUAAUUUCUAGGUGCCACAAAUUAAUCCGCAAGUCAUCUGCAGAUAGGUACGUUUCAUAAUCACUAUUAAUGGAGAUGGAAUUGAUGUGAUACGUGUGAGCAUUGGCAAAUAUUCUUCGUGGACUAGCUUCAACCAUGAGGUCCAUGGGCCUAAAUACUGGCACCCGUAGUGUUGUAACUGUAGUAGGAUCCCUAUACCGUCCAUCUUCUUCCUUUAAGUUAUAGCCCUCAGGUCUUUUGUCCCUUUCACUGAUUUUCCAUAAUUUUAUUGUUUUAUCGUUUGUAGACAAUAAAAAUUGAGCAGCAUUUUUCUGGGGUAACCACCUAAUUUUGUUGAUCUUCUCUUCAAUUUCUAAACUUUUCAAGUAGUCAAACUCUGGUUCAUGGCUUUGAAAGGUACUGUAAACAUUGUAUUCUCCCCUACUGUGAGACUGGGUUUUGUUCUCCUGCUCCUGUUGAAAGAUGACGACUCGCCCUCCUUUGUCUCCUGUUGCUAACAACUCUCCAGAAUGGUUAAAUUCUACCGUAGAAAUUAUAUCCGCUUCUGCUACAUCAUCAUCCACAGCGCCUUUCACCUGAGAAAAACACCACUGAAUGUCAUUUCCUCCUCCAGCUCCUGCCAUGUUGGGCUCGCGAGAGCGGCCGCGGCGGGUCGGGCGGGCUCGGCGCUACGCGGCGGGGCCGCCGGUGCCGUGCUCGGGGCGGCCGCGGGGGGCGGAUGGCAGCAGAUGGCGGCGUAGGUACGGCCGGCUCCGCUC
rnacentral:lncRNA from 1 species